UAUAUGAAUUGAUGGAGUGUUUCAAUUCAUAGAUGAAGCUUCAAUGGGUGAGGAGGGAUUUCGAGUCACUUGCGGAAAAUGUGCGUUACUACAAGAGCAGAGCCACUUGCACGACUCUGGCCUACCUGUCUUGGCUGCGCUUCUUCUACUUCGCUGUCUCCCCUGCUUCCUCCACCCUCCACUGCUUUCAUUGGCCCAUGGUUUUGGAUCUGAGUCUUUCCUCUUCAUUCCUUUACUUCCUCAUCUUACUUCCGGCUUUCAUCAAGUUGUACCGGAUUCACAACCUGCUCCACACAAUUUGCAACCAACAUACUCAUAUCUGUCAACGGAUCUGGGAGGCCAUGAACCAAAAUGGUCAGGCUGGAGCUUUGAAUGAUGGGGUCGGGUUCGAUUUCGGGGUCCAGGUCAGGGCGCUUACCGAUGAUUCAUUCAGUGGUGGGGAGAUCAAAGUGUACGGAUGCGCCAUCGCCUUUGCUCUGUUCGCUGUUACUGCCUUUGAACUCUACCCCUGACAAAGGCACUUUGUCAAUUAUGAAAUAAAGUUCAGAACCCACAUGAUAAAGGAGGUUUAGAGGAUGCUAAGGAGGUCAUGCCAUAAUUGUUGAUCGCUGCAAGUUCAAGUUGGAUAGCCUGCAGGGAUGGAGCUUGAAGAGGUGAGGAGGGAUUUGGAGUAUCUAGCUGAAAAGCAACAACAAAGGGUGCGUUACUACGAGAGUAGAGCCAUUUACACAACUCUAGGCUACCUGGCCUGGCUGCGCUUCUUCUACUUUGCUGUCUCCUCUAAUUCCUCCACCCUCCACUGUGUUCAUUGGCCCAUGGUUUUCGGUUUGAGUCUUUCCUGUUCAUCCCUCUAUUUGUUGAUUUUACUGCCGCCUUUCAUCAAAUUGUACCGGACUCACAACCUGCUCCACACAAUUUGCAACCAACAUACUCAUCUCUGUCAACGGAUUUUGGAGGCCACGAACCAAGAUGGUGAGGCUGGAGCUUCCACCCAUGGGGUCGAGUUCAAUGUCAGGUUCCACCAGGUGAGGGCGCUUCACAAUGAUUCAUUCAGUGGUGGGGAGAUCAAAGUCUACACAUGCGCCAUCGCCUUUGCUCUGCUUGCUGUUACCGCUUUUGAACUCGGCGCCUGAGCUCUUUCCCUUUUAUGAUGGCA